GACAGAGGAUGCAAGCGUUAUCCGGAAUGAUUGGGCGUAAAGCGUCUGUAGGUGGCUUUUCAAGUCCGCCGUCAAAUCCCAGGGCUCAACCCUGGACUGGCGGUGGAAACUACCAAGCUGGAGUACGGUAGGGGCAGAGGGAAUUUCCGGUGUAGCGGUGAAAUGCGCAGAUAUCGGGAGGAACACCAAUUGCGAAGGCAGCUUGCUGGGACGAUACUGACGCUGAGGCGCGAAAGCGUGGGGAGCAAACAGG
rnacentral:rRNA from 1 species